CUCUGGGUGGUAUAAACAGUUAGUGUAUUUGGCUGCUAACCAAAAGGUUGGAGGUUCAAGUCCACCCAGGGG
rnacentral:tRNA from 1 species